rnacentral:lncRNA from 10 species
AAUUCAUUCUCUUUUCUCUCCUUUACCCGCUCUCUUUGCUGGAGCUGGCUGAAAUAGGAGCAAAUUAGUCUCAUUCUGGAAAAGGCAGGGCAUGAUAAAGGACCCCCUAAAAGGUUUCCAGAGCUCCGUGCCUGAAUGUUUUGCAGUCCGUGUAAUUAUCUGACUUGGUAUGGGACAGAAGCCAAGAUGUAGGCCAGGAGAACUGCAUGUAUCACUGAUUUGACCGGAACAAGAGCUUAGUGAGGAUGCCUUAACAAGAUAUGGUCUGGACACCCAUUCUACUCUCCAUGACUGCAGGCUCGUAUCCUUCUAGGUCUCUCUCUCUCUCUCUCUCUCCUCCCUCCCUCUCCCUUCCUCUCUGCUCUUCAGCCUCAUUCAGGCAUCUGGUCCUUUCACUACUGCACUCACUCUCUUUGCAGCCUCCCUAUCCAGCCUACACUAUCCAAAAUCAAAUUUUGUUAACCCUUGUUAACCUCUCCCUCAUACCCUAAUCUUCCUUGUCCAUCUUGUCUUCUGCUACUUUCCAGCAUAACACAAGCCCAGAAUCAGUCAACUAUCCAUUUUCUCCACUCUUAACCAGGACUGCCAGGUAAUGCUAGAGAAAAAAACACACAUUUUUCAUGUAUUGGUUCUAUCAUGAGUCUGCAGUUUCCAACGUCAGUUUCUUCCUUAACACUUUCCAGAAAUCCUAUUCAUUCCCAAAGACCAUUUAUUCCUUAUUGUGGUGGGACUAUACUUUACCCUUCACCACUCCCAGCUGCCGUUUGGCUUUGACCCUAAGGAUGGCCUUGACACAGCUCUUGCCAAGCUCAAUGGUUCCUGGUCUUGGCUGAGUCCAGGUUAAAUGGCCACAAGGGAGCACUUGGGAUGGACAGCUGGGCUCAAAUCCUGACUCUGCCACUCAUUACCUGUGUAAUUUUGGCAAGUCUCUUAACUUUCUGAGAACCCAUUUUCACCUUUAUAAAAGAUAUAAAAGGGAAGAAUUUCAAAAAUUAAGUAAACAAAAUGGAAAUAAUUUUAAAUUUUGUCUAAUAUUCUUUAUCUUUUAAUUGGAGCAAUCUGUUUACUUAUUACUAAAUUUAGCUGCUGAUAUAUUGGGUUUAAAUUUUACAUCUUACUGUUUAUUUUCUGUUUGUCCCAUCCAUCCUAUUUUUCCUUUUUUACUCCUUUCUUGCCCUUCUUUGAAUUAAUUAAACAUUUUAAUUAUUAUUUUUUUCCCCUAUCAUCAUUAUUAAUAUAAUUUUUGUUUGGUUUAGGGUACUAUCUAUCAUAAACUGGAAUUAAGGAUUUAGAGAAAGGAUAUUAAGGGUAGAGAAACGCACAAGGAUAAAAUUCUUCAUUUGGACAGCAAGCUAUUGUUCUUUCAUUUAUUGAGCACUUACUAUUUACUACAUUCUGUUCAAGUCUCCGGGAAUGCAGCAGAAAAUAAAAACAGGCAAAGGCUCUGCCCUUAUGCAGUUUAUGGUCUAAAGGAGAAAGAGAAUGAAUUUUGAGGUCAGACAGUCUUGGAUUCAGAAACUAAUGUUGUCAUUAACUAAUUGCGUGACCUUACACAAUUGCCUACACAUGAUUUUUUCAACUGUAAAGGUUGAAAUGAUACUUUCUUUCAAGGCUUAUUAUAAGGACUAGAGAUUAAGUAUAGAAAGUUCCAGUACAAUUGGGGCACAUAAGAGGUAAUGAAUGGUGCUACAGUUAUUAUUAUUAUAUUCAUCAAACUUCAAUCAUAUGAUUUUUAGCCAUAAACUAGUAUUAUUAAAUACAUUCCAAAUGGUAUAUAUUUAAAUAUUUCCUGCUCUUUCUCUCUCUGCCUAUGAAAGAAAGCUGUGUUGUAUAUCUGUUUUAAAUGUUUGUACUUUUCUGCAGUCUGGUUUUCAAUUUUGUGAAUAUGAUUUAACCCAUGGUACACAAGUUCGCAAUAAUAAGGCCUUGGAAUAAUAAUAACCAUGUGUAACAUAUGGUGACAUUUGCCAUCUUCCUUGUCAAGGCAGAUGUUCACAACUAGUGUUAUAUUACUUCUGGUGAUUACUGACUGACAAAUUUAAUAUUCAUGCAAAAGGAUAUGUUAGGAAAUCAAGAUCAUGACUUAAAAAAGAGUACUAUCUACAAAUAUAUCCACCUAGAACUGCAUAAUUAAUAUGAAAUCGUUCUUCAAAAUCUCUGGCUCAUGACGACAAUGUUUUAGAUUGGAACUACUAGAAAUUCAAACUCUUUGUAAUCAUUCUCAUGUCAAAGAUACUACUGGCACUUUAAUAUAUUUAUUACUUACUUGAUUUCACUGACGUACCAUUAACUGCAUCUCUAAUGCUGCUCAAUACAAUGUGCUUUCAGUUAUACCUCCCAGGAAAGUGCAAUUGAACUGGGUAAACGUGACUGAUUAUAUUGCCAGGGAAGGUUAUUAGCAGUGGCGCUG